AACGAACGCUGGCGGCAUGCCUAACACAUGCAAGUCGAACGAGAUCUUCGGGUCUAGUGGCGCACGGGUGCGUAACGCGUGGGAAUCUGCCCUUUGGUUCGGAAUAACAGUUGGAAACGACUGCUAAUACCGGAUGAUGACGAAAGUCCAAAGAUUUAUCGCCAGAGGAUGAGCCCGCGUAGGAUUAGCUAGUUGGUGUGGUAAAGGCGCACCAAGGCGACAAUCCUUAGCUGGUCUGAGAGGAUGAUCAGCCACACUGGGACUGAGACACGGCCCAGACUCCUACNNNNNGCAGCAGUGNGGANUAUUGGACAAUGGGCGAAAGCCUGAUCCAGCAAUGCCGCGUGAGUGAUGAAGGCCUUAGGGUUGUAAAGCUCUUUUACCCGNGAUGAUAAUGACAGUACCGGGAGAAUAAGCUCCGGCUAACUCCGUGCCAGCCGCCGCGGUAA
rnacentral:rRNA from 1 species